rnacentral:lncRNA from 1 species
GAAAGCCUAUGAUUACUAGAUUAUAAGAGGCCCAAAAGUAACAGAAUUUGUUUCAAAACAAAACAUAAUUUUAUGGCUGUAUGAUUCUAUCGGCAAUUAAGCUGUGACGAUGAGACAUGCUCUACAUACCAAUAUGUGAUGGAACAAAUAAACUAGAAAAUUUAAAGUUAAAAGUAAAAGUUGAGAUCAAGGGGAAGAAUGUUAGGUUGAUCUCUUCGUGUGGGCCCAACGACCCACCGGACCCUUGAUCUAUAUGCGCC